UGUGCGUCAAGUGCGCCGCAGGUAGAGAACAAAGCCCUUGGAUGCGAGACUGGCGGAUUUAAUCCACAAUCCAGUCAAUCCACGAAUUUGAACCUUAAUCUAAUCCUAUAUCGUUGGUUAAGGAUUAGGAUCAGGUUUAAGUUUAAGAAGUCAAGAUUAUAUUUUUGGAUUCUGGACAUGAAAUUAGCACCCAAAUAUUCACUUCAAUUUUAUUGGUCUCUCUCUACUAACCUCUUGGGCCAUUGAAAGAAGAAUGGAAUCAUUUUUAUUGUUGUGUAUCAACUCCAAAUAUCUAAAAGGAAGAUCUUGUUACCUUCUCAAAGAUAGUUCAGAUACUGAUGGAAACAUAUGGACAUAGUAUACUUUCAUAACUAAACAAUUUACCUUUUAUA